AGGGCUACGUGCUCUCAGGAGAUUCUGGGGGAGGAGCUUCUUGGAGGACGUUGGCCAUGCCCCUUCCAGUCCCAGCUGCCUCACUGCAUCUGAUCCUGCCUUGUUUUACUGCCUGUUGCUCUGCUGCUGAGUGCCUGACUGGAGGCCUGAGGGGUUCCUAGACUGAUCUUCAACAAACAAAGCCCCUCCAUCGCUCCAGCCAUCUUCUACAUCUGCCUCAGCAGCCUUCCCUGUGCGUUUUUGCCCUUGUGUGGUCCUGAAGAUGCACACAGGGAAGAGGCACCAGUUGGCAGCCGGAAUCCAUCUUCAAGGUCACCUUCAGUCUUGGCCAGAGCCCUACAUAUAUACCAUCUCUGGCAGCACAGGACCCAGGACUGGAUCUGGCUGUUGGACUGCCUGUCACAGUUUCUGAGGAAUGCCUGGAUGACAAACUGACCUGGUGCUUGGAGGACAUUACACAUGAGUGGGAGGGGGAUGCACAUGAGGCAGCGAGGGAUCAGGUGGACCAGAAGUUCCAGGACAGACUCCUGUUCCUCAAGGAGAAGCACCUGGAGGCCCAGGAGUGGCAUGCUGCCAUGAUGCCCAGGGCAAUGGAGGCCAUGGAGGAGGAACACUGGGUGUCGGACACCAUCCUGGCCCUGGGAGUCAUCUUUGUGCUGCCUGCAGGGUUGCGGCCAGAAUCCAGGGUGCUAAGUGCCUGUCCCUGGGCUCCAACCCAUACGUAUUUUCCACCCCCCCCAUGGCUGCCCCUCUGGGAGGUCACACACAGCAUGGACUAUACAGGGUCUUCAUGAGAAAGAGGCUGCUUUAUUGGUGGUGGGUGGAGGAGGGACUCUGUGGUUAGGGAAGGAUGGGG